GAGGGGUAAGAGACACUUGGGUUACAUGUUAAUCGAUUGGGUUCCAAUCUCUUGUGAUUGGCACACUAGAUACAAGUGAUAAAACGAAACAUGCGUGUACGGCUCUAACUUGCAAUGUGAGUAUGUAUCGGUAUGGAUACUUGCUACAACUUGUGUGAUCGUACAAACUACGCUUAUUAUGACAUACGUGAUGGUUAUAUGUUUGGUUGUUUAUUGUUUGAGCAAUACGUGUGACAACAUACGUGAAGUGUGAAUUCAUGAAACUGAUUGUCUCUGGUAACCACGAUAGGAUUUGACUGAUCAACUGUUUAACGAGCAUUUAAUCUAACCGAGCAAACCAAAGGUGAGUUCAUCUCUCUUCUCUUGAGCAUGCGUCCCGGUGGUUGGGACAGUCUUUGGGUAUCCCUGAGAGGGAUAGGUUUUGGGUAACUUGUUUGGGUAUUCCUAAGAGGAAUACGUCUUGUUGUAAAUCGGUAAUGUUGGAUAAUAUACUCAUCUUAUCACCAUUAAAGUCCCUCCGUGUUAUUUGGUUACCUAAGAGGUAACAAGGUAUUAGUUAGUACCGCUACUUAGGUUUGGCACCCUCACCCCGUACUGAGAGGACGGGUGUGAACUAAUGACCUAGUCAUGACCAAUGCUUUGAUAGGAGCAUUAGAGAAAGGGCAAUGUAAAUCAGGAGCCGUCUUGUAUUCCGGGUAUUAUCAACAUUAAAUCCAAUAGAUUAACUAAACACUUGGUAACCAACGUUUUCGUAAAACUAUGAACUCCCCAGUGUUGUCUGAUACACUUGUUGCAUGCUCGCAGGUCGUUAGAUAUCUUGAAUUUGGGAAAUUGUUGUCUGGAGUAGCUGGAGUGGUCAUGGGUCGACUGGAGUGGCUCAUGUGAUUGAUUAUGGCUAUUAUACAUUGGAUUUGAACAAUUUAACUUUGGUUUACUAUUUGCUUCCGCUGAACAUGUUGGUUUUCAUUUAAACUUGAUGACAUUUUUCAUUAAUAAUUGGGGAUUUUAUUUAUAAACUUGAAUGGGUUCAAUGUAAUUAAUGGCUCGUUGUUGGUACGUCACACGCCUAACAGGGACAUUCCCUAGGUGGUAUUUUGGGGGUGUGACAUAUGUCGUCUCUAUAGGUUCUCUUUAUAAAAAUAAAAACAUAUAAACCAUAUAGAGACGACUUACCAUUUCUAUAUGUUUUUCUUUAUAAAAAAAAAGAUUUUCACCUAUAGAGACGACUUGUUGUCUCUAUAGGUUGUCUUUAAAAAAAUUUAGGAAACACUUUAGCCAAAAUAGAGACGACUUGUCGUUUAUAUAGGUUUUUCUUUAUAAAGUAAAGAAAGAUUUUCACCUAUAGAGACCACUUGUUGUCUCUAUAGGUUU
rnacentral:lncRNA from 1 species